UAGGGAAUCUUCCGCAAUGGACGCAAGUCUGACGGAGCAACGCCGCGUGAGUGAAGAAGGAUUUCGGUUCGUAAAACUCUGUUGUUAGAGAAGAACAGCGCAUAGAGUAACUGUUAUGCGUGUGACGGUAUCUAACCAGAAAGCCACGGCUAACUACGUGCCAGCAGCCGCGGUAAUACGUAGGUGGCAAGCGUUGUCCGGAUUUAUUGGGCGUAAAGCGAGCGCAGGCGGUCAAUUAAGUCUGAUGUGAAAGCCCCCGGCUCAACCGGGGAGGGUCAUUGGAAACUGGUUGACUUGAGUGCAGAAGAGGAGAGUGGAAUUCCAUGUGUAGCGGUGAAAUGCGUAGAUAUAUGGAGGAACACCAGUGGCGAAGGCGACUCUCUGGUCUGUAACUGACGCUGAGGUUCGAAAGCGUGGGUAGCAAACAAG
rnacentral:rRNA from 1 species